rnacentral:rRNA from 1 species
AGUGAACGCUGGCGAUAGGCCUAACACAUGCAAGUCGAACGGCAGCACAGUAAGAGCUUGCUCUUACGGGUGGCGAGUGGCGGACGGGUGAGGAAUACAUCGGAAUCUACUUUUUCGUGGGGGAUAACGUAGGGAAACUUACGCUAAUACCGCAUACGACCUACGGGUGAAAGCAGGGGAUCUUCGGACCUUGCGCGAUUGAAUGAGCCGAUGUCGGAUUAGCUAGUUGGCGGGGUAAAGGCCCACCAAGGCGACGAUCCGUAGCUGGUCUGAGAGGAUGAUCAGCCACACUGGAACUGAGACACGGUCCAGACUCCUACGGGAGGCAGCAGUGGGGAAUAUUGGACAAUGGGCGCAAGCCUGAUCCAGCCACACCGCGUGGGUGAAGAAGGCCUUCGGGUUGUAAAGCCCUUUUGUUGGGAAAGAAAAGCAGCAGGUUAAUACCCCGCUGUUCUGACGGUACCCAAAGAAUAAGCACCGGCUAACUUCGUG